AUAGCCUGUAAAAGCCUCCAAAGCCACUCACUUUCUUAAAAAGCUCCUUAGAAGAAGACAACAUCAUCCCUCCAAAACCUACCGGCCUUUUCAUUAUUUUAUCCAUACAUUGACCAGUGUAUAAUGCGUUUUACCACUUUUAUCUCUUUGUUUAUCUUUUCUCUUACCUCCAUUUACUGAUCCCUUCGUGUCAUCUCUCUUUAUCAUUUUGUGGGCGAGAGUGUGUGGUAUUGUGUGCUUGUAACUAUAAAGACGAAGAUAAUAUAGAGACUUGAGUAUAUUUCAGCCUUGUUAGGUUUUGGUUGCUGAAUCAUGAGAAAAAAAUCAUGACUCAGUUAUAUAGAGAAGAAACCAUGAAAGACGGAAAAGGGGUGUUUGGAAUGAAGUUCGAUCCAAGAUCCUUGUCUCUCCCGUUAACUUAGUCUCUGUUACUGUUAGGUUUUCAUUACUGAGUGUAUUUGCAGCCCCUUUGUCUGAUUUUGGCAUCAUGAGUGUAGGAAGUGCUGGUGAUCAUAGGGUUUGAUUCAAGAUCCAUUUGACUCUUCUCUUUAUAUCUCUCCUGUGUCCUAGCUGUUAAUCUGUAGUAGUCUUAAUUAUCCCUUACUUCUUGUUAAUUUUUAGGUUUGAUAUUGCGAGUAAUUAUAUUUGGAAAAUAUCAUAAAAUGAUCUCGGACCAGGCUUCAUUCCUUACACCUUGCUUUUCUUUUAUUAUCUGGUUACAAGAACCUAAUUAAGUUGGGUCGAUUUAUAACAAAUAGGUCAGCUAUGGACAUGGAUUAUGAGCCUUACAUGCUCGUUGAAGGGAGGAAAGCCAUGGAGAAUCCACCCUCGCAAUUGCUACACCAGAAGCUUUUGGCAUAGGCCUUCAAUACGAACGGAAGACGAAUUUUUGCCUCUAAGAAUAAACCACCCACCCUAGUAGACACCACCACCACCACCAUCUUUUCAUCCUUUUAAACCUGUCAAGCCCCAGCGAAACAUCCCUCAGAAUGAGGCAGCGAUAACGUGCUUGCAAUAGCUCUUGAAACCAACGAUGUAUCUUUGGAAUGCUUCAAACAAUUCUAUCUCAGAGCUAGACACUUUUAACGAGGAAGAUGGUCCUGUCACUAGCAUUGGCUGGGCACUAGUCAUUUAUUUUCAAACUUUGACUGGAUUCCAGUGAAGAGAAAAGGGCGAUGGUGACAACUAGAGCUUUUUGUUUUUCUAACUUGAUGACAGUUGUAUAUUUUUAUUUAAAAAGACUCAUUAGUCAUAUAAUCCAAUUAUAACAGCAGUCGUGUAAUUUUUAAAA